rnacentral:tRNA from 1 species
GGAGAUGUACCCAAGUGGCUGAAGGGGUCGCACUCGAAAUGCGAUAGGCCGGGCAACCGGCGCGGGCGUUCAAAUCGUCUCAUCUCCG